AUUGAACGCUGGCGGCAUGCCUUACACAUGCAAGUCGAACGGCAGCACGGGAGCAAUCCUGGUGGCGAGUGGCGAACGGGUGAGUAAUAUAUCGGAACGUGCCCAGUCGUGGGGGAUAACGUAGCGAAAGCUACGCUAAUACCGCAUACGAUCUAUGGAUGAAAGCGGGGGAUCGCAAGACCUCGCGCGAUUGGAGAGGCCGAUAUCAGAUUAGGUAGUUGGUGAGGUAAAGGCUCACCAAGCCGACGAUCUGUAGCUGGUCUGAGAGGACGACCAGCCACACUGGGACUGAGACACGGCCCAGACUCCUACGGGAGGCAGCAGUGGGGAAUUUUGGACAAUGGGCGCAAGCCUGAUCCAGCAAUGCCGCGUGCAGGAUGAAGGCCUUCGGGUUGUAAACUGCUUUUGUACGGAGCGAAAAGGCUUCCACUAAUACUGGGGGCUCAUGACGGUACCGUAAGAAAAAGCACCGGCUAACUACGUGCCAGCCGCCGCGGUAA
rnacentral:rRNA from 1 species